GACAUCACAUUUAUAAUUGGUGAUGUCAUAGAGAACGCUGCUCUCAUAAAGCGCUGUUUGCAGUGUGUUUGGUUAUUCUAUAGUGAGACUCAGAACAGUAAAGGUUGACAACACUCGGGAAGACACUGCAAGGGAGAUAUGCUAUACCUGUUCAAGAAAAGCUGCCUGCAAGGGAAAACAUAAACAGAUCAAUCACCCACCAAGAUCUGCAUUAUCAGGGAGCCGGGUUAUGUGCCUGAGAUGUUGCGCGGCGGAGGAUCUGAAAACCUCCCGCGGGAAUCCUCGCCACCUGCCAGGACCCAGCGAUGACACGGACAGCGUUACGGCCCG